CCUACGUGUGGCAGCAGUGGGGAAUAUUGCACAAUGGGGGGAACCCUGAUGCAGCGACGCCGCGUGAAGGAAGAAGUAUUUCGGUAUGUAAACUUCUAUCAGCAGGGAAGAAAAUGACAGUACCUGACUAAGAAGCCCCGGCUAACUACGUGACAGCAGCCGCGGUAAUACGUAGGGGGCAAGCGUUAUCCGGAUUUACUGGGUGUAAAGUGAGCGUAGGCGUGAUUGCAAGUCAGAAGUGAAAGCCCAAGGCUCAACCAUGGGACUGCGUUUGACACUGUACAGCUAGAUUGCAGGAGAGGUAAGUGGAAUUCCUUGUGUAGCGGUGAAAUGCGUAGAUAUUAGGAGGAACCCCAGUGGCGAAGGCGGCUUACUGGACUGUAAAUGACGCUGAGGCUCGAAAGCGUGGGGAGCAAACAGGAUUAGAUACCCGGGUAGUC
rnacentral:rRNA from 1 species